GUGGAAUGACAGUAGAUGGUAGACCAGGGUAAUAUAAUGACAGUAGAUGGUAGACCAGGGUAAUAUAAUGACAGUAGAUGGUAGACCAGGUUAAGAUAAUGACAGUAGAUGGUAGACCAGGUUAAGAUAAUGACAGUAGAAGGUAGACCAG